rnacentral:rRNA from 1 species
GACGAAGGAUCCAAGCGUUAUCCGGAUUUAUUGGGUUUAAAGGGUGCGUAGGCGGACUUGUAAGUCAGUGGUGAAAGCCCGAUGCUUAACAUCGGAACUGCCAUUGAUACUGCAAGUCUUGAAUAUGUUUGAAGUGGGCGGAAUGUGUCGUGUAGCGGUGAAAUGCUUAGAUAUGACACAGAACACCGAUUGCGAAGGCAGCUCACUAAACCAUAAUUGACGCUGAGGCACGAAAGCGUGGGGAGCAAACAGG